rnacentral:rRNA from 1 species
AAAGGCGAAAAGAACCCCGGCGAGGGGAGUGAAAAAGAACCUGAAACCGUGUACGUACAAGCAGUGGGAGCACAGGUUUACCUGUGUGACUGCGUACCUUUUGUAUAAUGGGUCAGCGACUUAUAUUCUGUAGCAAGGUUAACCGUAUAGGGGAGCCGUAGGGAAACCGAGUCUUAACCGGGCGUUAAGUUGCAGGGUAUAGACCCGAAACCCGGUGAUCUAGCCAUGGGCAGGUUGAAGGUUGGGUAACACUAACUGGAGGACCGAACCGACUAAUGUUGAAAAAUUAGCGGAUGACCUGUGGCUGGGGGUGAAAGGCCAAUCAAACCGGGAGAUAGCUGGUUCUCCCCGAAAGCUAUUUAGGUAGCGCCUCGUGAAUUCAUCUCCGGGGGUAGAGCACUGUUUCGGCUAGGGGGCCAUCCCGGCUUACCAACCCGAUGCAAACUGCGAAUACCGGAGAAUGUUAUCACGGGAGACACACGGCGGGUGCUAACGUCCGUCGUGAAGAGGGAAACAACCCAGACCGCCAGCUAAGGUCCCAAAGUCAUGGUUAAGUGGGAAACGAUGUGGGAAGGCCCAGACAGCCAGGAUGUUGGCUUAGAAGCAGCCAUCAUUUAAAGAAAGCGUAAUAGCUCACUGGUCGAGUCGGCCUGCGCGGAAGAUGUAACGGGGCUAAACCAUGCACCGAAGCUGCGGCAGCGAACGUAUCACCCAAGACAACUUUACGGAGUUGACGAUUGACGGAGCGAAGCGACGUCAAAGCGUUCAUUAAAGUCGAGUUGGCUUAGGGAUACGUUCGUUGGGUAGGGGAGCGUUCUGUAAGCCUGUGAAGGUGUGUCGUGAGGCAUGCUGGAGGUAUCAGAAGUGCGAAUGCUGACAUAAGUAACGAUAAAGCGGGUGAAAAGCCCGCUCGCCGGAAGACCAAGGGUUCCUGUCCAACGUUAAUCGGGGCAGGGUGAGUCGACCCCUAAGGCGAGGCCGAAAGGCGUAGUCGAUGGGAAACGGGUUAAUAUUCCCGUACUUGGUGUUACUGCGAAGGGGGGACGGAGAAGGCUAUGUUGGCCGGGCGACGGUUGUCCCGGUUUAAGCGUGUAGGUGUGUGUUCCAGGUAAAUCCGGUUCACUUUAACACUGAGGCGUGACGACGAGGCACUACGGUGCUGAAGCAACAAAUGCCCUGCUUCCAGGAAAAGCCUCUAAGCAUCAGGUAACACGAAAUCGUACCCCAAACCGACACAGGUGGUCAGGUAGAGAAUACCAAGGCGCUUGAGAGAACUCGGGUGAAGGAACUAGGCAAAAUGGUGCCGUAACUUCGGGAGAAGGCACGCUGACACGUAGGUGAAGUGAUUUACUCAUGGAGCUGAAGUCAGUCGAAGAUACCAGCUGGCUGCAACUGUUUAUUAAAAACACAGCACUGUGCAAACACGAAAGUGGACGUAUACGGUGUGACGCCUGCCCGGUGCCGGAA